GGAGAGUUUGCAUGGAUGACUCCCCGGGCACCUUGUGAGAAAUCAUAAGUGUUUGGGUUUUGGGGGGAGUAUGGUCGCAAGGCUGAAACUUAAAGGAAUUGACGGAAGGGCACCACCAGGAGUGGAACCUGCGGCUUAAUUUGACUCAACACGGGGAAACUUACGAGGUCAGGACACUGUGAGGAUUGACAGAUUGAAAGCUCUUUCUUGAUUCAGUGGGUGGUGGUGCAUGGCCGUUCUUAGUUGGUGGAGUGAUUUGUCUGGUUAAUUCCGUUAACGAACGAGACCUUAACCUGCUAAAUAGUCACGCGAACCGGUCCGCAAGGGCUCAAAGUUCGCGGCUCGACUUCUUAGAGGGACUAUUCGCACCCGCCAGCGAAUGGAAGUUUGAGGCAAUAACAGGUCUGUGAUGCCUCCUUAGA
rnacentral:rRNA from 1 species